AGUGUGGUUUUUAUUUUAUAAGAGGAUACAGAGUUAACUUUAUUUAAUACCCCUCAAAGUGUAAGUACACCUAAAAUAGGAGGAGGUUUCCAAAACAGGGACUCUGAUACUAUAAUGUUGUUCAUUGCAGAAGUCCAGUGAUCUGCGUGGUUCCCAUCUCACCCAUGAAUAUCCCAGGGCUGAAAUCUUCAGUUUUGGGGAAAAAGUGCUGCACUGUUGUGCCUGAUCCACUGCCCUCUCUGAGUUUCAGAAACUGGAUGUAUGAACUUGCAGUAAACAUUUUAAAUGAUUACAACUCUGGAAAGAAGAGUGAGCUACAUAUGAAAAGGCAUUAAAGUCAGUUCAUAUGAUGCAUACUUUUGUGAUUCCACUUCCCAUGAGAAUACAUCAGAAGACAAGGCACAUUAUUAAGAUAACUGUUACAUCGAUGAAGCCCUGCUUUGUAGAACAUUGGUUUGGGAAGUCUCACCUGAUCUAUCUGAAAUAGUCAUUGCAAGGAACCAUGUGACAAGCUCCUGUUGCCACCCAGACAGCCACCAACCACCCCGUGAAAGAGAUUUGAUUCCAGCAUAUAAAUUCCUGUACAAGCAAGUCUCGGCAUAACAAAGCCCUUCAUCAAGAUGAAGCUGCUGCACGAGCUUGAAUUAUUACACUCUCAGCCCUACUGUGAAAUCAACAUGAAGAAUAGGACAGUGCAGCACAUCAGUGGAAAAUCUGCAUCUCUGCAUGACUUCACAGAUCACAGCACCUCCUGAGAUACUAUUAGUCUCCUGGCAAUAUCAAUACACCACGAGGAAGUUUCCCAGUGAGCUGUGGUGCACUGACCAGACCUUUGGUCAGGUCCAGAACUCCGCUGAUGUUUUUUUGCUGGCCAGUCUGUCAGACAAUGUCUGUGUCUGUGGCACCUCUGUGACACCAAGCCAACAGUGCUGAUGGCACCUCAUGUCUCACAAAGCCUUCACUGUGCUGAAGACCCUUGGAUGCUGAUGAUUAUCUUUGGGUGCUGCUGAUUAUUUUUGCCUCUUGCCAGCUUUUUUUCCUCCUUCAUUUUCUUCUUUGUUUUCUGCAACAAUUCAAAAGGCUGAACAAAAUAAGUACAAAAAUAUGUUACACUAGCACUAAACACUGGUCAGCUACUUGCACUGAUUAAACAAAGCCAAUACAGUUGAAUUUGAAUUUCACUGGGAAUCUAAAACUUAAAUGUACAGAAAACUGUAGUGAUACAUGCUUUAUUUUUAAGUGUUUGCAAAAAAAAAGCCAUAACUUUAUCAAACAUUAUAAACACUUUCACUGCUGACAACCCUCUUCAAACAUCAACUACUGUAAUUUUCCACACAUUUACAUAAUACUGGCUGAUUAAGCCGUCAGAAUUUUCAUUGCUGCUUGCCGCAGAAAUCAAAAAUAAAAACAGAGUUUUCAGUGGUUUGCCCUCUUAAGAUUCUGACACUAGAGUGUAAGAAACAGUAAAAUGGCUAAUCUGAAGCAUGUAGGGGAAUAUUCUCCUCAGUUACUAAUUCCCUUAUUCUCACAUAAUUAAGCUUCUUUUCCCCAGUAUAUUAACUGCCCCAGGUGGCAGCAACUCGCUUAACAACAACCCAAUCCAUGGGUCUGCAGCCCUGCCUGAGGAGAUCUCUGAAUGGACAUCCUCUUCCUUCAUGAUUCUUACUAAACUACAGGGUCUCUUACCUUGACAAUUUAAUUCUCACAGGAACUACAAAGCCUCAAGGUCUGAAUUGUCUGGGAACCCAGAGGGCUGUUACAUGAACAGAGCUCUCCCCUGUGUUAUUUCAAAGUAAUGUGAUGUAUCUCCAGUCUGUCAGACUUGUCUGUUCUGGGUUAUAUUGAAGCAGCAUUGAUAUUCAUCUCAAGAUGCAUAUGGAAAGAUAUGUUAUCAUAUGGAAAUACAAGAUUUGUAACAGAAAUUACCAUGUAAUUAUCUUUGUUUCACUGUCACACAGUUUCCUCUCAAAAUAAUAGAUAUUGUCUCUCAUCUUAUAAUUAAAUCAUCUAUUUAACUUCCACAGUAAGACCAAAGUUUUGAAGUUGAAAGGGAGGUCAACAGAGAACUAUCAAUAAUACAGAACAUCCAUACAACCUAAGAAAUACUCUGCUGUGGGUAAAAGAGUAGUUUGAAUUCCUUUCCUUUCUGCAGAAAAGGGUAAGUACAAAAAAAUUUGCUCAGGAACGCUUUUGAAAAUAAAAUUUUUAAAGUAUCACAGAAAGAUAAAAGUGAUCAACUCAUUCCCUAUGAAAUCAUCCCAUCUGGUUCCAAUGCACAUUAAAUUAAUCCAGGACAAUAACACCCCCCCACACACAGACAUGUACCAGUUUAACACUAUUUCAAAAAAGAUUUUUAAUAAUCCACAGUAAUCAACCAUUAAAACAUUUGCACUGAAGUUUCCCAUGCAAUUUCUCUGUUGUCAUCUUAAUACUCAUUUAUGGUAAUAUCCACAGUUUAGAAAGAAAUCUGGUAAACGAGAAUAGGGAUUUUUUUUUUUUCAUCUGAAAAAGGUACAGAAUGGUCAGCUGCACUGUGGUAGAGCAGGUUGCUUCCACCCUGAUUUACAAAUAAUCUGCUUUCCUCCUUGGAAGCUGUCUUUUGACUUCAGGGGAAUUAAUGCUACUAUCAUUAUGCUUAUUGUGAAGUGUUAAUCUCUAUGCUAUAAUGAGAAAAGGUACUGCUAUAAUUUAGUAUUUCAACUUUAUCCAAGCUACACCCGUUUCUUCCCUUAUACUUCUGCUGUGCAUUCUGAAAGUCGAAAUGUAGUAGGCACUUUUCCAUCCUUUGUAGAUUUGGUCUAAUAUCACAGAAGUUAUCAGAAAACUUCAACUCUUAAUUGGAAUCUGAGUAAAACUGUGCACUGAUAUGCAAAUAUUUCCUUUGAUCUGAAAAAAGCAAAUAGCCCAUUACUUGUAAUUCUGUAUUUGUCUGCUGAAAAUGACCUGUGUCAUUAGAGCUUUUUGGUUGUUUUAGUUCUUGUGUUAGUGGCAGGGAUGAGAUAACUGGAACUGGAAAGAAAGAGGUCAGACUGGUCAUCUAGUGAAUGCAACCCUGUGCUAACUUCUUACUCUUCAUAAAGCUGAAAUUAGAGUUUCAUCACUUCAGAAAUUAAAUAUCAUUGUACAAAUGGCUAUAUGCUAAUGCACUGUAGUGAAGAUUUUGGUGAACUUUCUCAUCUCUGUAAUUAUAAAAAGGAAGAUAAAAUUACUUUGUCAUGACCUGAAAAGAACAGGUGCAUCUUUACAAGAGAGUUUUUCAGAAGGAAUACCAUACUUUUGCUCCUAUUUCUCAACAAAUUUUGUGAGUCUUGAGUCAUUAUGAGUUUAUAAAAUACGUUUCAGUGGAAACAGAAAAGCCCACAUGAUUUGGUUAGUUUUAAUUGUAGCAAGUUCUAUUUAUUUUUUCAAGAAUCCAGAGGAAGUAGAGGUUGAAAAUGAAUGACAGAAUGUUCCCUUCGAAAUACAAGAGCUAUCAGGUGUGUAAUAAGGGCUCAGGGAAGCAAAGCAAUUAUGCAAAAUUCAAAGGCAACUGGAGAACAUAAACAGUUGGUAUAGGAGUGAGAAGGGAAACUUGAUAUUCCAUGCACGAGGAGUCUUAGGUGGUCAUGGAAUUUCAGGCAGUAAUGGUGGAUGAAAGACAGGACACCGAAGCACAAAGGAAUUCCAAUGAGCUCAAAUAAGGGUCAAUCAGGCUCAAGGGAAUGUAAGACACUUUAGAAGACUGAGUGGUUUAGUGGUCUGUAUUUCUCUCUUCCCCAGCCUAUCCUAUUAAUCUGUUUUCUAAGACUUUUUCCCUUGCCCCAUUUCAAUGAAAAAAAAUACUCUUUUUCCCCUCCUGGACCUUGUAAGACCACUCCCAACAUGUUCUCCGAGCAGCCUUGUUGUCUCCAUCCUCUUCUGGUAUCCAGAGCAAUCUUUCCUGCUGCUGUCCAGCAAGAAGCAGUUCCCUUUGCCCUCCACAACAGCAUUUCAGACAAACUCAGUUUUCCUCUCUCACAGCUUCUGGGAACAAAUGGGCAAGAAGGAAGAGGAUGGAGCAAGUUCUAUCCUAGGAAACAGGACAAUAAGAGAUCUCUGCUUCUUCUUUUUUCUGGGAAUAGCAUCUGCUUUGCAGCAAGGUGCUGCCUCAUGGAACAACAGACUUCAGCAAACUCUACAGCCCAGUCCAGUUGGAUCUGCAGAAACCUUGCUUGUGUUGUACAGGUACUUUCUGCUUGUUAUUAAGAGAUGCUAAAAUGGCCUGUGUAAGUUUGAGAACAUGUCAACAAACUCCAUUCUUUCUUUGUUUGCCUGAAUAUAUUAAUUCUUUCUAAGCUUUAAAAGGCUAAAGCAAGAUUAACUGUGAUGGGGAUGAGAGGAAAGGCUCCAAAUGUGUUAAUGUUAUUGUAGGCAUCAAGGUGUCUGUACAACAUUGAUGAAUUAUUUCUAAAAAUAACAGAUGUAGGUAAUCAAUCUUACAUUUUGGUCAAAAGGAUAAGCUUCCCCCAACCCAGAUAUUGAUUGCUUACAGUAGGACUAUGUUUUAAGAAUGAUAAAAACUUUUUCAGUCGGUCCAAACUGUGGUCACAGAGACCUUGAGGCUCAUGCAACAAAAAAGGGCUUUUUUUUGGUUUUGAUAUAUUUACUUCUCUUCCUCCUUUAAGUGCUACCUGUUACUCAGCUUCCACAGUCAUUGCUGUUCUUACUUCUGUGAUUGUAUUUUGCAGUUAUCUUUUAAAAUAUCAAAUAAAUAAGGGCUAAUUUUUACAGCAGGAGCACCUCACAAGCAAGUACAUAGGCAAAAAAAGGGGAAAAGAGAGAAUGAUGAGCAAGUGAUGAAAGGAGUGAUUUUCCAGUUGGUUGUAACACUGAUAUAAUGGCUGUAAUAGAAAGAAAGCAGAUUUUUUUGUUUUAAUAUUAAUUG